rnacentral:rRNA from 1 species
UGGCAGUAAACGGUGCACGCUUGGUGUGCGGGGAAUCGACCCCCUGCGUGCCGGAGCUAACGCGUUAAGCGUGCCGCCUGGGGAGUACGGUCGCAAGAUUAAAACUCAAAGAAAUUGACGGGGACCCGCACAAGCGGUGGAGUAUGUGGCUUAAUUCGAUGCAACGCGAAGAACCUUACCUGGGCUUGACAUGUAAUGAACAACAUGUGAAAGCAUGCGACUCUUCGGAGGCGUUACACAGGUGCUGCAUGGCCGUCGUCAGCUCGUGUCGUGAGAUGUUUGGUUAAGUCCAGCAACGAGCGCAACCCCUGUUGCCAGUUACCAGCACGUGAAGGUGGGGACUCUGGCGAGACUGCCCAGAUCAACUGGGAGGAAGGUGGGGACGACGUCAGGUCAGUAUGGCCCUUAUGCCCAGGGCUGCACACGUACUACAAUGCCCAGUACAGAGGGGGCCGAAGCCGCGAGGCGGAGGAAAUCCUAAAAACUGGGCCCAGUUCGGACUGUAGGCUGCAACCCGCCUACACGAAGCCGGAAUCGCUAGUAAUGGCGCAUCAGCUACGGCGCCGUGAAUACGUUCCCGGGUCUUGUACACACCGCCCGUCACAUCAUGGAAGCCGGUCGCACCCGAAGUAUCUGAAGCCAACCGCAAGGAGGCAGGGUCCUAAGGUGAGACUGGUAACUGGGAUGAAGUCGUAACAAGGUAGCCGUAGGGGAACCUGCGGCUG